UUGCUUCAGCAGUACAUAUACUACAAACUGGAACGAUACAGAGAAGAUUAGCAUGGCCCCUGCGCAAGGAUGACACACGAAUUUGUGAGGCGUUCCAUACUUUU